GGAAGAGAUAUUCUCUCCAAUCUCGAUAUUCCUUAACGUCUCUUCCUUGAAUUCACGUGGCCAACUAGAAAUGGGAUUUUUUUCCGUUUAUUUUCAACAUCUCACAAUAUUUGGAUCACAUUUUCCUCUCUCCAAAAGGACACGUCGGUCCCUCUUACUCAUUGUCAACAAAAACCACUUACUCCAUGCCAAAAAGAAAAAGGCAUAGACACUACUCAUUUCAUUUUUAUUUUUGAUUUCGAAAAGAAGAAACAUAUAACAUAACAUCUUCUUGCUCUCACCCAUAAAUAACUAUCAUCUUCUUCACCACCAUAACAAAAGACCUCCUCCAAACAAAAUCGUAAAACCACCUUCGAGCCCCUACCCACAACCGUCCUUACACUAUGACACACCCACUCCAUAACACAAGCACAAAACCUAAACUCACAACAAAACCAUAAGAAAACUUUCCUUGGAUUCAAUCGUGCAAAAUCGGGUUCGUACGGUCGUAAUAGCUCCACACACAAUAGCAGCUGCAAUAGGCAUCCAACAACUCAAAAGCAAAAAGAAUCGUUGAGAUUGUGACCCUCGUCGGAGAUCUCGUCAUAUCCGCUUAGAUCGUAUUACUUCAAACUCAAUAGCUCAGAUCUUUUGAAGCAUUCAGGCUCAACCACAACUUUCUAUUUGAAGCAAGUCACGUGUUGGUCACGAUUUUCGAUAUCUUUUGCGCGUGUAUAUUGUGUGUUGUUUGCUGCUCGGUUUUUAACUUUAGUGUCAAUUCGAUUUUGGUUUGUUGUGAUUAUACUGUGUACAGGUUUGUUGGUGUUUGUUCACCAUUUAUCACAUGGAGGGUGUUCUUUUGUUAAAGUAUGUGCUUGCUUGCAUUUAUUUGGGUGUUAAUGAGUGUGUUUGUUUUCAUGAGUUGUUUGAACCUUAUUUUUUUAAAGAGAAAUAUUGACACGAGGAAUAAAUAUUUGGUUUGUCUCAUGGUUUUAAAGAAGUCUUUUUUUUUGUCUAAUAGUAAUAGCAAUUUUGCAGAAAGAAGACCAACAUGUUUGUGUUCAUGAAAAAAUAUUACUACUACUAUUGUCCUUGUUUAUUUCAUUUUUGCUUUUUUUUCUUCAUUAUAACACAUUUAUUUUUAUAUACAUUAGUGUGUGCCUUUAAUUAACAACUGAGUGGAUUUCGUGGAGUGGUUGAGACCUCGGUUUCCCAACCACCAGGUCUUGAGUUCAAUCCCUUGCCCCUAUGUCUUGGGUUCAAUCCCUUGCUACCACUUUUCCUCACAUUUUCCAUUUUCCAUUCUUUUUCACCCUUAUUUUUUUGUUUCUUUCACAUUUUUUAACCAUCCAAAUGGUGUUUUCUUUCUGAUUUUUUGACUCCUACUUCUAAUUUGUAACAUUGUAUUUACAAUUUAAUUUUUGUUUUUAUUUUUUCCACUUAUUUUGCCCCGACUACGACCAUUGUAAAAGUGCCCCAUGAGCAUUUAAAAAAUGCGAUA
rnacentral:lncRNA from 1 species